GGACGAGCUGAUAGCGACGCACAGCAGGCAUACAAAAGCUAAGACAAAGCAUGAAACUAAUUCACAAACAACUGAGCGAUAAGCUAGUGACAAACGUGAAGGAUUACAGCCAAAAGGAUGCUUGUCCAAAGUUUUGACAAGCUACGCUGCUCGGCAACAUGACCGAUUAACAGCAUUUCAAUUACAAUGUGUGAUUAAGACAUCAAGGCUUUACUUGUCCCAGCUGCUCCAAUGGCUUCCAUAUAUAUGUAUGUAUCUAUGGCUAAUGUCAGCCAAACCACCAAAACGCAAAUCCCCAAAACUCGAAGCGGCAGACAGGCGCCGGGAGGCCUGAAAUGGAUUUCAGUGGGUUAUGGCUUGGGUUUUGUGGUUCAGCUUGAAGUAGGCACCGAUUGCAGAGCCCGCACACACACGGUCAUAUAUAUAUGUAUAUGUAUACGUAGAGCUGUCAUUAGUUGCUGUCACUUUGCUGGCGGCACACUCUGGCCUCUCAGUCUCUGGCCUCUCCGUCUCUGGCCUCUCCGUCUCUGGCCUCUCCGUCUCUGGCCUCUCCGUCUCUGGCUCAUGUCACUUUGCUGCUGUCACACCUACACGCCCCCAUUACCAACGCCCACCCCGCCCCGCUUGUGGUAGCUCGCACAAUUCCCGGCUGACAAUAAUGUUUUUGUGCCCAGCUUAAAUACAUUAAAGCCUUCGCUGUCUGACAUACAACAUGGCAAAUGAUGAGCAAACCCCCGACCACCGCAACAGUCACCCUCACACACACACACACACACACAUACACACACACACACAGAGAGGGAGCUAGAACUGCUUGGCAGGCACUUCAAGCGGGAUGAGGGUCCUUCAGAGGCUUUUACAUUUGCCCGAAACGCUUUGCCCAGUUGAUUAGCAAUUUUGCUCACGUGGUGCUAUUUGUUGGCUUCAAGGGUGGGCUGUGCGGGGAAUGUAUGGUAGGGAGGGGGCUGGGGGUGCAGAAAGUGUUGACUGCUAUGUUUGCGCAUUGCUUUGGCCGCUCUUUGCAAAAUUUAUUUGUGCGGCAAAAAUUUACAUCUUUUAUAUAAACUUAUUCAGUAGAAACUUAGCACGACUUUUCGCAAAUUUUCUUCAGCCAUUUUGGCAUUUGUCCGGCUGCCCGCCGCUUGUAGCUAGCUCUCGAGUGUUUUUAAAGCAAAUCCUUUGCGUAAUUACUUUGCACAGUCACACAAAUCCCACGCCCAGCCACGACCGCCUGCCCUUAAUAGAUUUGUCCCCGGGGCUCAGGCUGAAGCCAAGCGCAAAGGCAUUUAAAUUCCGACAGCAGUCGUAUUUGUGUUUUACAAUGUUUUUAUUUAACUGCUGACUGUUUAAAUAUUAUAUGUUUGGUCUUUUUGGAUUUUACGGCCAAGUUUGUACACACACUCGCUUAGACAACACGCAUACGCCGUGUGUAUUUAUUGUGUUGCGCCUAACAGAUGCAACAAAAAAUGUCCGCUUCCGUUUGGCAAAAAAUCACAUAAAUUGUAUGAAAUGCCAGCACACAAAACUCUCUCACGGCAAAAGCUGGCAAAAACUAACCGCAAAAAAGGCAGCACACACAAACAACAACAACAUCACAAUUUACAACAAAAACAACAACAAGGCGUGGCAAAUCAACAGAAUAUUUCAAAUAUGGCCAUGCACAGGCGCCUAAGCAAAAUGCACACAUGUUCAUGGACACGCCCCUGGUUACCGACACUCAACUAUACACAUAUUAUGUGCACACACCCCCACACACACACACACACACACACACACACACACACAGCCACACUCCACAGGUUGACAAUAAAACGUUGGUCGUAAUAAUAAACUAAUAGUGCCCCAGCUGCCAAGAAA